AAAGUGCGAAAUGUAGUGCGAUUUGCAUGAAUCUGUGAGUCAUCUAAUCUUUGAACGCAACUUGCGCCUCUUUGAGGCAUGUUUGUUUGAGUGCCGCAAAACAUCUUUUACACUUUGGUGUGUAAGUGUUGACCUUUGCCAGUGGCUUUGGUUUAAAUGUAGUCAGUAAGUGGUACUAGUUGACUAGACCGAGUGCUAAGCAUUCUUGGUCCAAGCAACCGGGAUCAUCUAAUACAUUUCAUUUUUGGCCUCAAAUCAAGCAAGAUUACCCGCUGAACUUAA
rnacentral:misc_RNA from 1 species